UCAAGUGCAUACCAGUACAUUCAAUUAUACUGACCCAGUUGUGCUAUGGUAUUUUAUACCAUAGGUUUAGAAGCACGAGCUCUCGAGCAUCCUUAGUAGAUCAGACGUUCAGCAACCAGACUUACAGUAAGUCCUAAUCAUUCGAGGAUAACAUGAUUAUUUUAUUACUUUAUUAUUUCAGUACUUCGAAGUUAGUUGGGGACAUGUCCCAUCAACUCCACAGUUUUCAGACAGUUUAGAGGAUUUCAGACUACAAUAUAUUUUAGAUAGUUUAUUUCAAUUUUGGGUACUGUUAUACUCCAUUACAGACAUUGUUUUACAGUCAGUAUUAGUCCAGUUUUGAACCUUAUAGCCUUACAGCUUAUAUUCUGCAUAUUUACAGUAUAUUAUUCAGUGCUCAAUUACAGAUAUCGAUCAUAGGUUAGCUUGUUGUCCUUCAGAGUCAUGAGCACCGUGUAACGCUUCGGGUACUAGAUUUGGGGCGUUACAUUAACAUGAGCAAUUACACCCUAAAUAAUGAUAUGAAAAAUAUAACAUUACCAAGUGCUAUAUUGUGUUUUCCCCUUGAGAUGUCCACCUUGUGGCCCCUUUUCUCCCUUCCAUGAUUAACACAUAGGAAUAUAUCAUCUAGAGUACAAUCACUAACCAACGUACCAUAAUGGGUUUUAUUGAUACGUAGAUUCUCUAUCACCACUCACAUUACUCUAUUUCACCCUCAACAAUCAAUCAUUUAUAAUCAACCAGCUUUUUAGUUAUUAC
rnacentral:lncRNA from 1 species